UACAGAGGGUGCGAGCGUUGUUCGGAAUUAUUGGGCGUAAAGCGCAUGUAGGCGGGAUGUUAAGUCGCGUGUGAAAGCCCCAGGCUCAACCUGGGAAGUGCGCGCGAAACUGGCAACCUUGAGUGCUGGAGAGGGUGGCGGAAUUCCCGGUGUAGAGGUGAAAUUCGUAGAUAUCGGGAGGAACACCAGUGGCGAAGGCGGUUGCCUGGAGCUUUGCUGACGCUGAGGCGCGAAAGCGUGGGGAGCGAUCCGG
rnacentral:rRNA from 1 species